UUAAAUAAUUAUUCAUUUGAGUAAGCUUUCACAUUAGAAAAGUGUUGCUGUAGAAAAUUGUAGCAACGGUUAUGGAUUAUAAAUAUUUUAUUGUAACAGUUUAUAUUAUUAUUUGUUCUUUUUAGUUUUUCUAUGAGAUAUUGCAACACUUAUUGAUCAAGAAACUAAAAUGUGUUAAAAACAUUAAAAAUAAAAAUUAGGUUAAAAACAUUAAAAAUAAAAAACAGGCUAAUUUUUUCAAUAGAGGUCUUUUUUUCCUUCCUCCCUCCCACGUACAACAUAAAAUUUUCUCCCUAAACCCUUUCAUCUUCUUCGUUUACUUUUUUCUAUCCGUUUCAUCCUCUUUCAACCUUUUUCAUCUUCAUUCUUUCAAACAAGGGGAUUAGAGAUUGGGUAUGUACACAGGCGAUUUGAUAUUUACAUUGGCGAUUGGCCUCUGAAUUGGAGUUUCAAAAAGUUAGUGAUUGGCGUUCUAAAUUGGAGAAGUACAAGGUUUGUUUAAAUAUUUCUCUUCAGGUUUGGUCUUAAAUUUCCCAAUUUAAGCUGUAUUUUAUAUUGUUAAUCGACUAUAGCUGGAGAUUUGUGUGUGGUUUUAAGGCUUAAAUUAGGGUUUCUUAAUUAGUGAAUUAUUAUGAUUUGAUUUUUAAUGAAUAUCCUUGUUCUGGCACUUUGAUUUUUAAUGAUUUGAUUUUUUAAAUCUAAUUCCAGAAUUAAGUUUGAAUUUUCUAUGUAUGUCAUUUUGAUUCUAAUUUCUUUACCCUAUUCGAUUGAAUUCAUGGUCAUCCUGGAUAUGUAAUUUUGAGACUGUAAUCUGUUCAUUCGUAUGAUUUAAUAGGGAAUUUUCUUUUUUGAGUCCAGAAUGUCAAUCAAGUGUAUGACCUGAUUGUUUAUUUUUCUAAUUUAUGAACUUGCUAGAAUUUUUGAGCAUGCUAAUUUCACUAAAAUGCCAAAAACUAUGGGUAGACUUGAUGAAUGUUUAUAGUAAAAUGAUUGAUAUUGGUAAAUUUAUGUUCUGAAAGUUGAUGCACCUACUAUGUAGAAGAUUAUGAGUAUCUUCGUGCUGCCACUUAUUCGUUGAUGUUUACUAUUUUGAUUGUUUAUUUGCUUAGAAGUUCUGCAUAAAUCUCUUAUUUUUUGUAAAGUUAGUUGGUGGUGGUUUACUCCACCUGAAGUGAAUUUUGUUGAAAAAGAAAUCUUUUAUUUUGUCAAAAACAACUUUUGACAUGUUUCCUUUUUUUCCCAUUUUCCAUCUUUAGUUUUUUCAUUUUACGUAAAACAUGUCUGUAGCAGUAUUGCAAUAUUAGACUAUCCCCGAUUGUUUAUAACUUCAUGUAAAAAGUUCCACAACCCUGACUGGAUCUACUAUGGACCUGUUUUUUCUUCUUUUCCUUUUUGCAACAAGACUCAAAUGGUGUUUCUGUUUGUUUGUUCCAGGGGGGUCUUAAUAGUUUUUGUCAAAAAAUAGAUAUAUAAGUAUCUCAUUAUUAUCUCUUUUUGUCCCUCUCUCCCUUGGAUACGGUCCCUAGGUGUUUUAUUUUCUAGCUUGAUCUCAUUUGCAGCCACGACUUCCUUUCCAUCUUCAAAAAUUACUCUUGCAUUUUCGAAGUUUGAGACACGAACCAAGGAACACCUAUGUAUUAACAAAGAGCUUGAGUGAUCUUGCAUGUAUGAGAGUCUGUACAUUCUCUUCCAUAGUUGAAUAUAACAUCUUCUCCAGCAGUACUAAUGAACAUUUCUUAUAGCAGCCAUGUUCUUUGUACUUUAGUCAACAACCUCCAUCUUACCGUCCUCUUUUGCUUCUAGUGUCUACAAAAAUUGAGCUCACAGCUCACAGUAACAGCUCCAGCAUUUAUGCUGACAGCCAGCAGUUACCGAGUGCUUGAACAACUCUCAGAUGUUCUUCCUCAGUACCUGAAGCCAAAACACCCCCUCCAUAACAGGAGUAACAGCAUGAGAGACACCACCAACACCUUGGAUAGCUUCAUCAAAGCUUCCUUCCACCAUCAAAUCAGCUUUGGCGAUUCUGAGUUUCUCUUUAGCUCCCUACAUUUCCCAUAAAAAUCCCACCUUCUCAAUAUUUUCUAUUCCCAUAAUUUUGAUAACUGGACAUGUAUGAUUUGUAAAAAAGUAUAGUGCGUCUAGAAUAAAUAUCAUACAAAUACAGAUGUGUUAGGGAGUUAUGAACCUAGGUUUCGGGAGUGAUAACUACAGUAUGUCCCCUUCAGAGCAGUGAUUCUACCAGGUUUGCUGCUAUGAGCCCGUAUCACCAGUCACACAAUAUAACGACAUCUUGAUCUGAAUGUUGUUUAUGCCUUCCUAAUUCCUAUAAAGCUAUUUAUGUUCAUCAAAUAUGAUGUGGUCAGGUAUAUAUGUCAUUAUCUUAGCGUUCUAACACCAUUUAUUUUUAUUUUUAAAGGUUUAGAGUAAUUAUAUUUAUAUGUAUAGUUAACACGAGUAGGUUGAUCAAUCAAACGAUGCACAAACGACACUAUAUUAGUCUAUGUUAGAUAUGACACAGAAGAGUUCACAACAUCAUUUAAUUUUAAAAUGAAAAUGAGCUCUAAUACUAUGUUUUGUGUAUAUAUUGUGGUUGAUAGAAGAAAGAAUUCCUCCAGUUCUCACCUAGAUGAAAAUCAUGAGAUAGAGAUGGUAGGACAGGGCAAGGCCUGAUAGAUGGGUAUAUAUGUUAAAAUUAUCAAAGAUAUGGCCUGGGCUUCCUCUGAACCAAGAGAUGAUCGAUACUCGAGGUUUAUGGUAAAAAGGUACAUUUACUUGGUGAUUAAUAAUAAGUAUUUGAUAGGCUCUACAACUAUCUUAUAUAAACUAUCGAGAGAGGGUUUAUUUACAUUGUCUAAAGAGCGAGUUCAAACAGGAGAGAUCUUAUUCCAACCUCAACUUGGUGGAGUGGUGGUGCAUAUAUUCAAGAAUUACAAGCUACUUUAAAUAUGUGAAGAACUAUAGGGUUGUUGGAACAUUAAUGUUAGAUAUGUCUUAAAAAUUAGAGCUAUCCGUGAUUGCAACAUUUUUAUUUAUUUUAAUUGAUGUAGUUUUAGAACCAAUAUGUAACUAUUGAGAUAAUUGUAAUAGAUAUUAUUCUUAUGAAUUUAAUUUAUUUGAAUCGUG